UACGUAGGGUGCGAGCGUUGUCCGGAAUUAUUGGGCGUAAAGGGCUCGUAGGCGGUUUGUCGCGUCGGGAGUGAAAAUCCAGGGCUUAACUCUGGACUGGCUUCCGAUACGGGCAGACUAGAGGUAUGCAGGGGAGAACGGAAUUCCUGGUGUAGCGGUGAAAUGCGCAGAUAUCAGGAGGAACACCGGUGGCGAAGGCGGUUCUCUGGGCCUUACCUGACGCUGAGGAGCGAAAGCGUGGGGAGCAAACAGG
rnacentral:rRNA from 1 species